rnacentral:lncRNA from 10 species
GAUAUCUGUUGUCAAAUGGCUUUCUCUGUUCUUGCCCUACUAUUAACCCCUCAAUGUGUUACAUCAUACCCUUAGAGCAAAACAAAAACAAGAACAAAAACUGGUUCCAAAAGAAUUCCCAAAAUCACAUGUAAGCAAGUAUUAAAGAUACGGCAUUUUGCAAAUAAGUAACUCUUUAUUUGUAAACAAAUAUAAAUACAUGAGACGUGAAAAUAAUCAAGGCUCUCCCCUGUCAUCUCUGCAAAUAAGUAAAACAUUUAAUCUAAUCUGGGAAUGAAAUAGUAUAGUCCUCCUCUAUAACCUAAAUCCCUUAAAAGAAUUUUGAUUAGCUCAUACUGUAUUUUUUCACCAAAUACCACAAUCAUUCAAAAGAGCUUCAUAGGUAAUUUAGCAGAAUAUGCAAUUGUAUUCAUAUCUCGUAUAAAUCAGUUUGAUGUCCAAAGAGAAUCAAAGCUACAGAAGCUUUAAAAUUAAAAAGUGAAUUCAAUCUUAGUUCAUUAACAAUCCACUGGCAUAUGAAAAAUGAAGGGGGUAGAAUCUGAAGACAGGAAAGAUUUCCAUCCAUAAAUUAACGGGCAUGCUAGGUACACCCAACAAUUAACACCAUAUAUUACAUCAGGCCUGGAAGUAAAAAUCUUGAAAGAAUAGCUUGUUAACAUGGCAUUCUUAUAAAACAAUAAUAAUACUAUUCAUGGAAACAUCUGUGAUUUAAGUUUCUCAAAAAAAGUGUUCAAAUUUCAAUUCUUAGAAAAGCCAUGAAAAUGUCUUAAUCAGUAACAGCAAAGUUUUGAAGAAGUAUUGAGGAUCUAAUGAUUAACAAAAUAAAAAAAUGUUUAUAAGCAACUGUGCAAUGUGAAUAAGCUUUUGCAGAAGGGGGGUUAUGGUACUGAAAUCAAAACUGAUUUACCUAAAUAUGUCUGCAUAUUCUGCCAUCGCAGUCAUGAUGGCUUCUUCUGCCUUAGAGAAACCGAUUUUUUUUUUUUUUUUGAGACAUAUCACUCUGUUGCCCAGGCUGGAGUGCAGUGGUGUGAUCUCAGCUCACAACCUCUGCUUCCCGGGUUCAAGAGAUUCUCCUGCCUCAGCCUCCUGAGUAGCUGGGAUUACAGGUGUGAGCCACCACACCUGAUUAAUUCUUUUUAUAGUAUUAGUAGAGAUGGGGUUUUGCCAUGUUGGCCAAGCUGGUCUUGAACUCCUGACCUCAAGUGAUCUGCCUGCUUCGGCCUCCUAAAGUGGUGGGAUUACAGGAGUAAGCCACCACACCUAGCCAAAAACUGAUUUUCUUUAUUCAAUGGGUGUGAGAACUGACAAAGGGAAACAAAAAUUAAAAAACUAUUAGACAUGCUAAUAUGUUAAUUGUACAACUCCAUCUAACAGUUUCUCUUUAAUUUUGCAAUAACAUUAAGCUGUAAUCUUAAUAGAGUUCUUAUAUUGCAGUUCAGCAAAUUUUUACAUGCCAUGACUUUUAUUCACAACUAAGUAUGAAGAUAAGGUCUCCAGAGGAUCUCACUCUAAAGAUAAAACCAACAAACAGUAAUAUUACAUAAACUUCAACUGAAGAUAAUUUGUAUUAAGUUAAAGAAAAGGGAAUUAAUACUUUAACAAUCUCAGCAUUUUUAGCUAAGAAUUCACAUAUCCUUUGAAGAAACAAUUACUAUUCCACUGUGCAUCUGAGGGUAUGUCACAUAGCCCAUACACAUAAACUAAUUUAAAAGCUGUUGCAAAUCAAAUUAUCAUCUCAUGAAGAUUAAACAGUAGAUAUCCAUUUAGAUUUAAUCAAGCAUUUAGAAAACGCUUGAUGCUAACAAAAAUUAGCCAGCCAUGGUGGCGCCCACCUGCAGUCCCAGCUACUCCCAGCUACUUGGGAGGCUGAGGUGGGAGGAUCACUUAAGCCUGGGCAACACAGCGAAUCUCUGUCUCAAAAAAAAAAAAGAAAGGAAAGAAAAGAAAAGAAGGAAGAGAAAAGAAAUGGCCAACAACUUUACAAACCUAUAAUCACAUAAAAAGUUGUAAAACAUAUGAGACAUGUGGCUAAAGUCAAAGACUUCAUGGAACCAUGUUAUGACUUAACAAUCACAAAAGGAAGUCAAUUUAUCUCUACUAAAGUGAAUAUAAAUAUUGCAAUCAUUCUUUUUCUGGCAUAAUUAUGUUUUGGAACUAUGUCUUCUAUAAAAAGCAUCUGUAUACCCACCUGUCCCAGUUGUGUUGGCUGCCAACUACAAGCAUCCUCUGUCCUUAUUUUUCCAAAUCACUCUACUAAAAAUACUAUUCACACAAUACCUGCAAAAUAGUAUUUCAAUAUUGGUUUUGCCAAUCAGUCAAAGGUACCUCUCCAAUUUUCAAGAGAUAAGUCCAAUCCUGGGGUUAUCAGUGAGAGGAAGAUUUGGUAUUGCGCCUAGACUGUGGCAAGUUCACUGUGCCCCCUUCACCCAGAAACUUGCAUUGACCAUACAUUUACUAUGUGGCAAAUACAUGUGUCAACUUAAAACUUUGAAAGUGGAACCAGUCCAUGUUGAGUAUCUGUAAAAUCCAAGUGUCCAAAUUCUUGUUUCAAGUUUAAUUUUUAAAAUCUGAGUAUCCAAAGUCUUGUUUCAAGUUUUUAAAACUUAAAGGUAAUAUAGUAAAUUUUUAGGAUCUUAACAUGUCUGGUAUUUAAACUUAGCUACGAAAAAAUUACAAUGAAAAAAAGGACACCAUUACUGUCAAUAAAUCCAAAUGAUAUCUUCAUUUUCAGAAUCACGUCUUCCACUACCUUCUUCAAACAUCACUUCCUCUCCACUACUUCCCCCAGUCCUUUAGGCAAAUCAGUGAUUCACACCGCCCCUUCCAC